GAUGAAGAACGCAGCGAAAUGCGAUAAGUAAUGCGAAUUGCAGAAUUCCAGUGAGUCAUCGAAUCUUUGAACGCACAUUGCGCCCUUUGGUAUUCCGAAGGGCAUGCCUGUUCGAGCGUCAUUAUCACCCCUCAAGCCCUCGGCUUGGUGUUGGACGGUUUGGUGGAGGCCCCCUCGGGGGCUCCUGCCCCUCCCAAAGACAAUGACGGCGGCCUCGUUGGACCCCCGGUACACUGAGUUCUUCACGGGACACGUAUCGGACACAUGGGUUUACGGGACACGGUCUGCCUCCCCUCAGGGAGAAUCUUUCUAAGGUUGACCUCGGAUCAGGUAGGGAUACCCGCUGAACUUAAGUAUAUCAAUAAGCGGAGGA
rnacentral:misc_RNA from 1 species